CCUACGGGGGGCAGCAGUGGGGAAUAUUGCACAAUGGGGGAAACCCUGAUGCAGCGACGCCGCGUGAGUGAAGAAGCGCCUCGGCGCGUAAAGCUCUGUCAGCAGGAACGAUAAUGACGGUACCUGAAGAAGAAGCCCCGGCUAACUACGUGCCAGCAGCCGCGGUAAUACGUAGGGGGCAAGCGUUAUCCGGAUUUACUGGGUGUAAAGGGAGCGUAGACGGCGGGGCAAGUCUGGAGUGAAAGGCCGGGGCCCAACCCCGGGACCGCUCUGGAAACUGCCCGGCUGGAGUGCGGGAGAGGUAAGCGGAAUUCCUAGUGUAGCGGUGAAAUGCGUAGAUAUUAGGAGGAACACCAGCGGCGAAGGCGGCUUACUGGACCGUGACUGACGUUGAGGCUCGAAAGCGUGGGGAGCAAACAGGAUUAGAUACCC
rnacentral:rRNA from 1 species